ACCAUUCCAUACCAAGUUCUAUCCAUUGUUCAUCGGGCACAAACCAGCACCUCCCAUAAUUGCUCUUCUUUCUGGAGCUCCAAAGCUACAUCCAGUCAAGUCUAAGCCAUCCAAACAACACUGGAUGCUUCCAAUCAGCAUAGGAAGCAUCCACAAAGACUGCCUGCAUUCCUACAGUUGUCUUAUAAAAUGCAAUUAAGUUAAUAGGAUUACAAGAAAACAUCUAAAAAUGAUCUAGAAAACUUCACAUAGAAAGAUUUCUGAAACACUGAAGUCAUAAUUCCUCCAUAUACCCAUCACAAGAUUUUCUGCUCCAUGAACUCCUCUAUAGA